rnacentral:rRNA from 1 species
UACAGAGGGUGCGAGCGUUGUCCGGAAUCACUGGGCGUAAAGGGCGCGUAGGCGGCCUGGUAAGUAGGGGGUGAAAUCUCGAGGCUCAACUUCGAGGCUGCCUCCUAAACUGUCAGGCUUGAGCAGAGUAGAGGCAGGUGGAAUUCCCGGUGUAGCGGUGGAAUGCGUAGAGAUCGGGAUGAACACCAGAGGCGAAAGCGGCGACCUGGACAGGUACUGACACUCAACUACGAAAGCGUGGGGAGCAAACAGG